rnacentral:lncRNA from 1 species
CUCUGUAUUAGUAAACUUCAACAUAUAAUGCAUUCUCAAUGUUACGUAAAAUUCUAAUAAUGUUUGCCAUGGGACGGCAUCACAAAAACACAAUGGUUUGGUUAUUUCCGAUAAUUUCUGAAUAAUGCAUUCUUUUAUGCCAGCUUUAUGUGAAGAAUCUCGCAUAUGCAUAACAUAUGUGCUUUCACAUACAGAUAUGAAGUCUAAAAAAUCAUUUAUUGAAGCACAAUAUUCUUCUUUUGCAACCUUCAUUGUUUUCUUGCAGCCUCUUUCUUUUCGUUGGUUGAUAAUAAUAGACGUUAUAGUCUUUCUUGUUGCCUCCACAUAUAUUUUAUUUGCAAUAGGGCACAAAACGACAAUGGCAAUGCCAGUAAUGCUACACGUAUAAUACCAGAGGGUGUGCAAAUUUUGUCUGCUGGAAAAAUUUCAUUAUUUAGCUAAGAGUAAACCUACUGUAUACUCUCUAUGCUGUGGUAUAGAUAGGGUCUCACGGAUCGAUCAGCAAAGGUAAACUGUGGAAUGGAC